rnacentral:rRNA from 1 species
GACGAACGCUGGCGGCGUGCUUAACACAUGCAAGUCGAACGGAAAGGCCCUGCUUUUGUGGGGUGCUCGAGUGGCGAACGGGUGAGUAACACGUGAGUAACCUGCCCUUGACUUUGGGAUAACUCCAGGAAACUGGGGCUAAUACCGGAUAGGAGCUCCUGCUGCAUGGUGUUGUUUGGAGAGUUUCGGCGUUUGGGGAUGGACGCGCGGGUUAUCAGCUUGUUGGUGGGGUAGUGGCAUACCAAGGCUUUGACGGGUAGCCGGCCUGAGAGGGUGACCGGCCACAUUGGGACUGAGAUAGGGCCCAGACUCGUACGGGAGGCAAGAGUGGAAAAUAUUGCACAAUGGGCGGAAGUGUGAUGCAGCAACGCCGCGUGCGGGAUGACCGCUUUCGGGGUGAAAACCGAUUUCGACUGUGACGAAGCGUGAGUGACGGUAAUGGGUAAAGAAGCACCGGCUAACUACGUG